rnacentral:rRNA from 1 species
UACGGAGGGGGCUAGCGUUGUUCGGAAUUACUGGGCGUAAAGCGUGCGCAGGCGGUUGUGCAAGACAGAUGUGAAAUCCCCGGGCUCAACCUGGGAACUGCAUUUGUGACUGCACGGCUGGAGUGCGGCAGAGGGGGAUGGAAUUCCGCGUGUAGCAGUGAAAUGCGUAGAUAUGCGGAGGAACACCGAUGGCGAAGGCAAUCCCCUGGGCCUGCACUGACGCUCAUGCACGAAAGCGUGGGGAGCAAACAGG